rnacentral:rRNA from 1 species
UACGUAGGUGGCAAGCGUUAUCCGGAAUUAUUGGGCGUAAAGAGCGCGCAGGUGGUUGAUUAAGUCUGAUGUGAAAGCCCACGGCUUAACCGUGGAGGGUCAUUGGAAACUGGUCGACUUGAGUGCAGAAGAGGGAAGUGGAAUUCCAUGUGUAGCGGUGAAAUGCGUAGAGAUAUGGAGGAACACCAGUGGCGAAGGCAGCUUCCUGGUCUGUAACUGACACUGAGGCGCGAAAGCGUGGGGAGCAAACAGGAUUAGA